CAGGGCCCCCCGUGCUUGUUCCAGUCGUCGGCAUGAGUGAGGGGUGAUGCUUGAUGGCUUUGAUGCCAUCGGUUGGGACAUGUUUAAGCAUCGGUCUUCCCUCAUGCUCACGAUAGUCUGCAUGAGUGGGUAUGAGUCAAGGAAGUUGCUUGAUGGCUUUGAUGCAUCGGUUGGGACGUGAUUCAGCAGCCUACUUGGUGAAGUGCCUAUGAAUGGGGACUUGAUCCUGCGGCAACAUGAGGGGGCCAAUCCGAGCCGGAAGACAAGGGGGUACAAACACCAGUCAGCCUUUGGCCUGAUUGUUGUGUGUUUUGUGCUUGAAGUCCAAGGCUUGAUGCUAUCCCCCAGUGGAGGGAGGUGGGAACGGAAU
rnacentral:misc_RNA from 1 species